rnacentral:rRNA from 1 species
UACGAAGGGAGCUAGCGUUGUUCGGAAUCACUGGGCGUAAAGCGCACGUAGGCGGCUGUGUCAGUCAGGGGUGAAAUCCCGGAGCUCAACUUCGGAACUGCCCUUGAUACAGCACAUCUGGAGUCCGGAAGAGGUGGGUGGAAUUCCUAGUGUAGAGGUGAAAUUCGUAGAUAUUAGGAAGAACACCGGUGGCGAAGGCGGCCCACUGGUCCGGUGCUGACGCUGAGGUGCGAAAGCGUGGGGAGCAAACAGG